AGCACUUCUUUUACAAAUAUGGUCUGGGAGACAGUUUGGAAGCUAGACUUUCCCAGCAAGGUAAGGAUAUUCAUAUGGCGGGUGCUUCAUGGCUUGAUCACUGCUAUGGCCGUACUAGCUCGUAGACACAUUAAAGUUUCUCCUAUGUGCCCGGUCUACAAGAAGGACCUUGAAGAUAUGAAACAUCUGCUUUUUACUUGCGGACGAGCUUGCGUAGUAUGGCGGGCUCUCGGUCUGGAUGACAUCAUACAACAAGCUUUGUCUGUUGACAGAUUUGGAUUGGUGGUCCUUGAAGAUAUCCGUCAUCGCCCUCGCGGGUGUUCACCUGUUCUUGGACAACUUGACCUUCAUGAAACUAUUGUAGUGGGGGCGUGGUAUAUUUGGUGGGAGAGAAGGGAGGUGUGUAAGGGAGAAUUCAUCAAACCCCUGAAAAGUACCGCGUUUGCCAUUCAUGCAAUCAUAGCAAAUACCUCCAUCAGGUCAGACCGUGCUCAGGUAGUAAAGGGUGGAUGGGAGAAAACUUGCCACUGA
rnacentral:rRNA from 1 species